GACGUAGGGAGCAAGCGUUGUCCGGAUUUACUGGGCGUAAAGAGCGCGCAGGCGGUCGUUCAAGUCGCGUGUGAAAGCCCCCGGCUCAACUGGGGAGGGUCACGCGAUACUGAUCGACUCGAAGGCAGGAGAGGGAAGUGGAAUUCCCGGUGUAGUGGUGAAAUGCGUAGAUAUCGGGAGGAACACCAGUGGCGAAGGCGACUUCCUGGCCUGUUCUUGACGCUGAGGCGCGAAAGCUAGGGGAGCAAACGGG
rnacentral:rRNA from 1 species